rnacentral:rRNA from 1 species
GAUGAACGCUCGCGGCAGGCCUAACACAUGCAAGUCGAGGGGUAUUUCUCUUCGGAUAGUGCGACCGGCGCACGGGUGCGUAACGCGUAUGCAAUUUACCUUUUACCGUGGGAUAGUCCAGAGACAUCUGGAUUACUAACCUAUUGUAUAUAGACAUGGCAUCGCGCUUAUAUUAAUAUUACAACGGUAAAUGACGAGCACGCGUACAAUUAGCUAGUCGGUAAGGUAACGGCUUUCCAAGGCUACGAUGGGUAGGGGUCCUGAUAGGGAGAUCCCCUGCACUGGUACUGAGACACAGACCAGACUGCUACGGGACACAGCAGUAAGGAAUAUAGGGCGAUGGGGGCAAACCUGAUCCAGCCAUGCCGCGUGCAGGAGUACGGUCCUAGGGAUUGUAAGCUACUUGUAAACAAGAAGAAUCUCUGCUACGUGUAGCAUCUUGACGGUAUCGAAAGAAUAAGGAUCGGCUAACUCCGUG